UCCUCUGUAGUUCAGUAGGUAGAACGACGGACUGUUAAUCCGUAUGUCACUGGUUCGAGUCCAGUCAGAGGAGCCA
rnacentral:tRNA from 1 species